GAUCAUGGCUCAGGAUGAACGCUAGCUACAGGCUUAACACAUGCAAGUCGAGGGGCAGCAUGGUCUUAGCUUGCUAAGGCCGAUGGCGACCGGCGCACGGGUGAGUAACGCGUAUCUAACCUGCCUUACACUCUUGGACAGCCUUCUGAAAAGGGAGAUUAAUACAAGAUGUUAUCAUUGAGUAAGCAUUUUCGCAUGGAUUAAAGGUUUACCGGUGUAAGAUGGGGAUGCGUU
rnacentral:rRNA from 1 species